AAUUCCAUUCCCUCAACGAUGGAGGUCCUCUGCUACUUAGCCCACCUGAAGGAGCUGGGCAGGGCACCAAAGACUCUCAAUAUUCAGUCCGCAGGGAUUUCAUAUUUUUGUAAAGCCUUUUUCGCCACCGACCCGUGCGCUGAAUUUAUCGUGCGUAAGACUUUAGAAGGCUGGCACCGGCUGCAGCCCCCCAGCUCUGACAAGAGGAGGCCCAUAACUUAUGAUAUUCUGACCCAGAUACACAAAAAAUUACGAGAAAUAUGCUGGUCAAAAUAUGAAGCUUGCCUAUUCUCUGCCGCUUAUUCCAUAGCCUUCUUUGGUGCCCUGCACAUAGGGGAGGUAGUCUGCGAGGGAGGGGUUGCCCACUGCCAGAGGGGCAUCCUCUUAAGUGAUCUGACCCUAUCAGGGACUGACCUAAUCGUUCAAGUAUGGAGCUCUACUUAAGACCCAAUAGCCCCGGCCCCUUUUUUAUUCACGCGGGUGGAUCGCUCUUGGCCAGACACCAGUUUACGCGAGUGAUGCGCAUGGCGUUGGCAGCAUGCGGACUGCCCGCGGCUGAAUUUGCGGCUCACUCCUUUCGGAUCGGGGCAGCUACCACUGCAGUGCACCUUGGACUCUCCACAGGGAGGAUAAAGGACUUAGGGCGGUGGAAAUCUAAUGCAUACAAAGCUUAUGUGAGAAAGAAUCUAUGACUAGCGAUUGUUCUCCUGACCUUGGUUUUUCUGUCUAUUUGCUUUUCAGAAUACAAGAGGGUGCGCAUUUGGUUGGUGGGCCACAGCAUUGUGCAUUGGGCCAAGAAUCGUGCCAUGAGUACCGGGUUGGGACAAAACUUGAACUUGCCUGCAAAUGUGGAGCUGGCGUGGAUAGCGCGAAGAGGGAUGCGCUGGAGCGAAUUCAAGCCAGCCGUGAUGGCGAGAGCUGCCUCUGAGGGCCCACCUGAUGCCCUGGUUAUCCAGUUGGGGGAAAAUGACCUAGCGUACUGGAAAGCUAUUGACUUGAGAUGGAACAUUUUUGACGAUUUUGCUGAUCUGAUGGCGG